CUGACGAGGUUCGUAGAAAGUUUCUCUGGAUGAUAUUAGUGCGAUUGAGUAAGAACAACGGCAUCAUUGACAACGUUCAUGUGGUCAAUUCUGUAGCUAAAUGUGAGAAGGGAAUACCAUGAAAACUUCUCUAAAAGUUCAAGCAUGAUGAGACAUUCUGGUGGAGUGUCAACAUUGGAGGACAAAACAAGCUCUCAAAUGCAGACAAUGUCACAGCUGCUGCGUUGAAUUCACGGACAGUCUCAAGCGUGUUAACGUACCCAGUAGACAUGAUUGACGGCACUCUCACCACACAUACCGGAAGGCGGGAAUCCUUGUGCAUAGCUACAUAUAGUAAUCGGCUGAGGUCGUGCUAUAACCUAACAUGAUUUAGAGAGAAGCUUGGCGAGGCUGAAAGAUAGAAAAUGAGACAAGAAUAGUUUCUAUAGUGAAGUGCGGUGCCCACUCUCCAGCAACCGCAACAAACACGUGGGCGUCGCACAAGUACAACACUGAAAUGUAGUUGUGGGGCGCGGGGACAACUGGAGAGAUUUCUCCUAGCUUGGUACAGAAGCUGUCACUGGUGACGAUGAUCGACCCUCAGCCUAUUACGUUUGGCGGAUCACAGGAAGUUCUACCUCUUGAUUAAUUACGAUGGUGUAAGGUUGGGUUCUUACAGGGCACUUGGCGAGACCGGCACGCGUAUAGAAAGAAGGGGUGCCGUCGAAGCGUGAAGCACCAUCGAUCAGGGGCAAUCUGAAUUGUAAGAGGUCUCGUAAGGACGUUUGUGACUUACCUGCAGCAUUGAAUCUAUCUUUCAGCGGUACG